UUUCUACAAGUCCUUCAUCUUGUAGGUUGGAGCUAUUCUAAGUAUAAAGGGCGAGUCCAUUUUGAUGCCGUUUGUCCCUAGGUGGCCAGCAGAGAUACUAGAUGUGCUUGAGGCACAGCUAAGGAACUUAUGGGCUCUCAGUUGCAGCACUGCCUGCCCAGCUUUCCCUCACUCUGUUCUCUGAGUGGUCUAGGUUCCCACAGCCUCUCACUGGCCGGAUCUUCUUACUUUUCUCUGUUUGACCCCAGCCUUCACACUGCCUUCAGCCUGCCCUGGCCUCUGUAAUUACUGUCUGCUGAUAGGUAGUUUACUUGACCUUUCUGAGCAUCAUGUGUAAAUGAAUGUGGAGAAUAUCUCACAGGGUUUUAGGUCAGAGCCAUUAAAACAGUUAUGGCACCUAGCACAGUGCCUGGCACAUAUUCCCAGAUUAAUGUCCUUGAAGUACAUUAGGUAGUGAAAUUCAUGAUGUCUCCUUAUUACAUACGAAUAAAGAAGUAACCUUGUUAGAAUUCAAUUCAUCCAAGAUUUUGUUGACUGUUUUAUGCUAGUUCCUGUGCUGGGCACUGUGGUUCCAUAAUGGAUGAACCAUGAUCCCUGACUUUGGGGAGUUAAGAAUUUAGUAGAACAGACAUAUUUACAACCAAAUAUAAUGCAGUAUGAUAAGUGGCCCGCUAGGAACAAACACAAGGAGCCAUGGGAACACCGAGAGUGAAGAGCUAAGUCCCUUGCAUGCCAUUUGAGGCUGUCCUGCCCUCCCAGGCCUACCCCUCACUCUGUCCUUAGGCCAGUGCUCACAUUCCCCCAAAUACACGCUGCAGGACUUGAUUUUGACCUCCUCCGCUCCCUGUAGCCUGAGGCCAUCGCUCACUGUUCCUUUUGCUUGGAAUCCUCUUCCUCAUCUUUUCACUGCCCAAUUCUUACUAACUACUCUGGAGGCCCAUGUGCUUACCCCUAAUUCCACAGUCUCCCCUUCACUCCCACUUCCCAUGUUUUUAUUGGUGCAUUAUAGUUGUACACAAUGGUGGGAUUCCUUGUUACAUAAUCAUACAUGCACACAAUAGAACAAUAUAAUUUGGUCAAUAUCGUUCCCCAGUAUUUUUCCCCUCCCUCCCCUCCUUUUUCCCUGAUGCCUUUUCUCUACUUUAUUGAUCUCCCUUCAGUUUUCAUGAGACAUCCCCCAGCCACCUCUCUGUUCCUGUUUCCUCUCUAGUUCCCACAUGUUUGAGAAAGCAUAUGACUGUUGACUUUCUGAUUUUUGCUAUCUUAUUUAACAUAAUGGUCUGAAGUUCCAUCCAUUUUCCUGCAAAUGACACAAUUUCAUUCUUCCUUAUGACUGAAUAAAACUCUAAAAAAUAUAUAUCACAUUUUCUUUAUUCACUCAUCCUUUGAUGGACACCUAGACUGGGUUCCGUAGUUGGGCUAUUGUGAAUUGUACUGCUAUAAACAUGGGUAUUCAUGUAUCACUGUAGUAUGCUGACUUUAAUUCUUUAGGAUAAAUACCAAGGUAUAGCUGGGUCAUAUUGUGGUUCCAUUUCUAUUCUUAACUCCAUAGUCUUAAUCCAUCACCCAAACCAUUGUUCUUUACCAUUUGUUCCAAUUUUUCGAAACAAAAUUUUAUUGUAAAAGCAAUAAAUGUUUAUUGUGAAAUAAACCCAGAGAAUAUAGCUAACAGUAAAGAAGAAAAUAAAUAUCACCCGUAAGCUGAAAAACAAAGAUAACCACUGCUAACCCUCUCCCAUAUUUUCUCCUAGUCUUUUUACAAUUGCACGUGUGCACAUGUGCAUGCACACACACACACUCACCACACAUACACACACACACACACACCACUUCUUAUUGUCCUUUCUCAUUCUACCUAAUUAUCAAUUAGAUAAUAAUCUCAAUUAGAUAAUCUCAAUUGUCAUUAAUCUCCAUUAGAUAAUAAUCUCAGACUGUAAGCUACUUGAGAGCAAGGAUAACGUGGCCCUUGCUUUUUUUAUCUGUUAUUAAACACAACAUCUUGUACUAGAGGUCCUUCUGUCUCUGAGUCAAGACACUGGGUGAAUUGGUUUGGCUUUGGAAUUCAGCAGAUUAUUAUUUGGAGGAAGCAGAUUUGCUGACCCCAUACUGGCUGCUUUUGGAGACUCACACACAUUCUUUAAGCACCAGCAAGUGCUGGGCAGUCAACUCUCUGCUAGGAGUCUGGAGAAAGGGAUCAAAAAUUUGUAAUGACUCAAUAAGUCGCCGAGUCACAGGCAAGUGCUUAAGUGGGAUCUGCAUCCUGCAUCAGGCAUGUUGAAAAAUGGCUCUGCCUCAAUGACACAGUUGAUUCUGGCAAAUCUUUCCUUAUCCCCUGAUCAGAAGUAGAGCGAACAUUUUACCUAGGGCCAGUGGGUGAGAUGUUCUUCCCCGAGGAGUCAGUUUGGGCUCCAACAUAUUCUUUGCUUAGACAUAAAAUUCAAGAGGCUCUUGAGUUAGGAUUGGGAAUUCUUUUCCAAAAAUCUCAAUGUGGGGAGUCAGGGACCAAGUCAGUGGGGAAUUUACUCAACAGCCACAGGUGAAAGCAAAUCAGAGAACUCAAGAAAGAACAAUUUGGGGGAAUAAAUAGAAGAAAAUGCUAACACAGCAUCAGAAUCCCUUCAAGACAUGUGUAGAAACAUGAGAGGCUGGUGGUAUGCUAAGGACCUCAGUGUAGGACAUUCAUCUGUAUGGAUGGCAACAGAGCUUUAAAAGCAGAUAUAAGGGAAACAGAUCCACUUUCCACCUGAGAUGUUUAUUUGAAUAUGGCAGGAUGCUUGUUAUUUUAGAUUUUUUUUUUCUUGAAAGGGAGGGUGGUAUCAGGCUGUUUCUAGAACUAAAUAUCUCUUAGGAAAUUUCAUUAUGGGAUCAAGGGAAGAGUCUGCAAGGUUUUGACUUCUGAUGAAAAACAUCAGAAAUCAAGUUAAAUCAAAGAGAACUCUUAAGAUAAACAAUCACUUAUAUGUGUGAUGCAAAGAAACCUCUGUCAGAGAGCAGUUUUUGGAGCAAGAGAGAGAGGAAAGGAGAAUUAGGAAGGAUGUAGGGCUCAGCCUUUGAGAUACCUUCUAGGACGGGUUUCCUACGGCUCUACAUCAUUAAAAAGAGAUGGACAGAAACUGUGGUUUUUACAUGGGAUACCAAUGAGGACCUAAGAAGCCAAGACCCAAGAAAGCCGGGUGAUAUACACAAGAUUAGAUCAAAAAGGGUAACCUGAGGGAAUGUGAUUUUUUUUUUUUAAUUCUAAAUAUAGUUUUCUUUCUGUAACUCUACAGUGACUAUGGGAGGUAACGGGAUUCAGUAGCAAGAGCAUAGGUUAAGAUGUGUUCAAUUUAAAUUCUGACCAGGGACAAGUUCUUAUUAUCUUUAUAGCCUGUUUCCUCAUCUUUACAUAAUCAAACGGCCCAGGAGUUGUCCCCAUCUGCUCAAGUGUGACCCCUGGCUUCUUAUAAGCUUGUCCCUGGGCCUCACACACUCACUGGAUCACCCCUUCAUUCAGAAAUCAUUCCAGGUGCUGGGGUGACAGCAGGGAUCUGAACAAAGUCUCUGCCUUCAUGGAGCUCACAGUCCCAACCAGCACUGUGCAAUGGAAAUGCGACCUGAGCCACAUGUCCAGCUUUCAGUGUCCUAAUAGCCAGAUGAAGAAAGUAAAAAAGUGGAGUUCAAAUCACCAGUAGCAAAAGCGCCUUCCAGAAGUGAAGAGAUUACCAGUUCUCAGAGAGCAGGGAGCCACAGGUUCGGAAAAGACAGAGAAGUUGGCCGAUCCGUAUGGCUACCCCUGGUGAGAGAGUGGUCCGCAGACCCCAGGGACUUGGUGGGGAGCCGGAUGGGAGCGGCGCCUGCCUGAGUCCGCAGCACCACCUGGAGCGCAGGGAGACCCUGGAGCAGGCGCCAGGCCAGCUGGCCAUGCUGAGGAAGUCGCAGGAAUUUUUCCAGACCUGUGAUGCCGAAGGCAAGGGCUUCAUCGCCAGAAGGGACUUGCAGGUAAGAAGGGUCCCAGCUGGGCCAGCCCACCUGGAACACCCAGGCACCUGGAAAUUCUUGUCCUGAGCUAGAACUGCCCCACAGGAGGUGACAUCCUUAACAGAAAAGACCUCAGUUCAGUUCUGGAAGGUCAGCCCAAACUCUACUGGGACCCGGACCUCCUGCAUUCAUUCUAUUUCUGUCCUUUACCUGAGGUCAGACUGGGGGUCGUUUUUCUUCUCUGAUUGAGUAACUCCCCAGGAUUGUGAGAAAUGAUGAUAGUAACAUAAGAGACUUAAGUAAGACACAGAGAAGAACCUUCUGAGAGUAGAGAUAGAAAGGCACAGAUCUGUUGCUUUCA